GCCUGGGAGGGACAGUUGUUACCGUGAUAUCUCCUGGCGACGAAAUGUCUCCUUCAGAUAAACUUCCACCAAAACCACUGCAUACCCAUUUCACCCUUUAAUGAUCUCAUCUUGUUUUGUUGCUGUUGCUCUUCUUCUCGCCGUGUCGCACAUUCAGCUUCGGUGCCCUCGAGCCCGCCGACGUGAGCCACAAGAUAGGCACGGGGCACGCACAGACGACGGCGUCGACUCACGGCCCGCGGUGUCGCCCGCUCAAAGCGCGGUCGGUCAAGCCGCGUCGCGUCGGCGAGCGGGAGCGGUGUGCGCAUCGCCCUGUCGCUGGGAGCCCCCCGUCCAUGUAAUUUGACUCUCUGGGGCCAGUGCCGCGAGCGAGUAGAGCCUACGAAGGUUGGCACGGUCUACGAGGCUGGGGGUAUGGCCAGCACCACGCCUGCCCACCUUUGUCUCCCCAGUGCAGAUGCUUACACGCCGCUCAUUGAAGCUAUGGGAGCAAACCAGGGACACUGGAGGGAACCCACGGCGGAGAGGGGGAGAACAUGCACUCUCGAGACAAAGAGGCACUCGUGUCGGGAAUAAAACCUAGGUAUGGUAACUUAUUUAUGUCACACAAGAGUCUUGCCACCGCGCUGCCCUGCCUCACACAAAGAGCUCAGGCUGCACAACAACACAAUGUGAUUGAUCAUUGCGCUCUCUGCAACUAGUUGCUUUUAUUUAUGUUGAAAUUGUCAAAGUUAUUAACAACGCCUCAACGCACUGAUGCUGUGCUCAUAUCCUAUUUAGAGC